rnacentral:RNase_P_RNA from 1 species
GCACUGCCACGGUCUGUCGCUGGUGUCUUUGACACGAGAGGAAAGUCCGGGCAGCACAGGGCGCUCCACUUCUGAAAAUGGAAGCUAUUGGUGACAGUAGGUGAGGGCAGAAGAAAAUAACCGCCUGUACUCCUGAUGGAGCAGGUAAGGGUGAGAAGGUGGUGUAAGAGACCACCAGCCAAUGGGUGAUCAUUGGGCUGUGCCUGCUGGAGGCUGCAAGUUCGCGUAUACCACCGUCUGAGGGUUGCCCGCCCGACGGCUUCGGCUACGGUGGAGGGUAGAACGCUUGAGCCAUGGGGUGACUCAUGGACUAGAUAAAUGACAGACACCGGUGCCUGCAUCGGUACAGAACCCGGCUUAUAGGGGCAGUGCUUUC